GAUGAACGCUGGCGGCGUGCCUAAUACAUGCAAGUCGAGCGAACGGACGAGAAGCUUGCUUCUCUGAUGUUAGCGGCGGACGGGUGAGUAACACGUGGAUAACCUACCUAUAAGACUGGGAUAACUUCGGGAAACCGGAGCUAAUACCGGAUAAUAUUUUGAACCGCAUGGUUCAAAAGUGAAAGACGGUCUUGCUGUCACUUAUAGAUGGAUCCGCGCUGCAUUAGCUAGUUGGUAAGGUAACGGCUUACCAAGGCAACGAUGCAUAGCCGACCUGAGAGGGUGAUCGGCCACACUGGAACUGAGACACGGUCCAGACUCCUACGGGAGGCAGCAGUAGGGAAUCUUCCGCAAUGGGCGAAAGCCUGACGGAGCAACGCCGCGUGAGUGAUGAAGGUCUUCGGAUCGUAAAACUCUGUUAUUAGGGAAGAACAUAUGUGUAAGUAACUGUGCACAUCUUGACGGUACCUAAUCAGAAAGCCACGGCUAACUACGUGCCAGCAGCCGCGGUAAUACGUAGGUGGCAAGCGUUAUCCGGAAUUAUUGGGCGUAAAGCGCGCGUAGGCGGUUUUUUAAGUCUGAUGUGAAAGCCCACGGCUCAACCGUGGAGGGUCAUUGGAAACUGGAAAACUUGAGUGCAGAAGAGGAAAGUGGAAUUCCAUGUGUAGCGGUGAAAUGCGCAGAGAUAUGGAGGAACACCAGUGGCGAAGGCGACUUUCUGGUCUGUAACUGACGCUGAUGUGCGAAAGCGUGGGGAUCAAACAGGAUUAGAUACCCUGGUAGUCCACGCCGUAAACGAUGAGUGCUAAGUGUUAGGGGGUUUCCGCCCCUUAGUGCUGCAGCUAACGCACUAAGCACUCCGCCUGGGGAGUACGACCGCAAGGUUGAAACUCAAAGGAAUUGACGGGGACCCGCACAAGCGGUGGAGCAUGUGGUUUAAUUCGAAGCAACGCGAAGAACCUUACCAAAUCUUGACAUCCUUUGACAACUCUAGAGAUAGAGCCUUCCCCUUCGGGGGACAAAGUGACAGGUGGUGCAUGGUUGUCGUCAGCUCGUGUCGUGAGAUGUUGGGUUAAGUCCCGCAACGAGCGCAACCCUUAAGCUUAGUUGCCAUCAUUAAGUUGGGCACUCUAAGUUGACUGCCGGUGACAAACCGGAGGAAGGUGGGGAUGACGUCAAAUCAUCAUGCCCCUUAUGAUUUGGGCUACACACGUGCUACAAUGGACAAUACAAAGGGCAGCGAAACCGCGAGGUCAAGCAAAUCCCAUAAAGCUGUUCUCAGUUCGGAUUGUAGUCUGCAACUCGACUACAUGAAGCUGGAAUCGCUAGUAAUCGUAGAUCAGCAUGCUACGGUGAAUACGUUCCCGGGUCU
rnacentral:rRNA from 1 species